GUAGGUGGCAAGCGUUAUCCGGAAUUAUUGGGCGUAAAGCGCGCGUAGGCGGUUUCUUAAGUCUGAUGUGAAAGCCCACGGCUCAACCGUGGAGGGUCAUUGGAAACUGGAAAACUUGAGUGCAGAAGAGGAAAGUGGAAUUCCAUGUGUAGCGGUGAAAUGCGCAGAGAUAUGGAGGAACACCAGUGGCGAAGGCGACUUUCUGGUCUGUAACUGACGCUGAUGUGCG
rnacentral:rRNA from 1 species